rnacentral:rRNA from 1 species
AGUGAACGCUGGCGGUAGGCCUAACACAUGCAAGUCGAACGGCAGCACAGUAAGAGCUUGCUCUUACGGGUGGCGAGUGGCGGACGGGUGAGGAAUACAUCGGAAUCUACUUUUUCGUGGGGGAUAACGUAGGGAAACUUACGCUAAUACCGCAUACGACCUACGGGGGAAAGCAUGGGAUCUUUGGGCCUUGCGCGAUUGAAUGCGCCGAUGUUGGAUUUGCUAGUUGGGGGGGUAAAGGCCAACCAAGGCGACGAUCCGUAGCUGGUGUGAGAGGAUGGUCGGCCGCAUUGGAACGGAGACACGGUCCAGACUCCUGAGGGAGGCAGCAGUGUGGAAUGUGGGACAAUGGGCGCAAGCCUGAUACAGCCAUACCGCGUGGGUGAAGAAGGCCUUCGGGUUGUAAAGCCCUUUUUUUGGGAAAGAAAAGCAGCAGGUUAAGACCCCGCUGUUCUGACGGUACCCAGAGAAGAAGCACCGGCUAACUUCGUG